UGGGGAAUAUUGGACAAUGGGGGAAACCCUGAUCCAGCGACGCCGCGUGUGUGAAGAAGGCCUGCGGGUUGUAAAGCACUUUUAGUGGGGAAGAAAUGUUCAGGGUUAAUACCCCUGGAUCUUGACGUAACCCAAAGAAAAAGCACCGGCUAACUCUGUGCCAGCAGCCGCGGUAAUACAGAGGGUGCAAGCGUUAAUCGGAAUUACUGGGCGUAAAGCGUGCGUAGACGGUUAUGUAAGUCGGGUGUGAAAGCCCCGGGCUCAACCUGGGAAUUGCAUUCGAGACUGGAUAGCUAGGGUACGGAAGAGGGAAGCGGAAUUUCAGGUGUAGCGGUGAAAUGCGUAGAUAUCUGAAGGAACACCAGUGGCGAAAGCGGCUUCCUGGUCCAGUACCGACGUUCAGGCACGAAAGCGUGGGGAGCAAACAGGAUUAGAUACCCUGGUAGUCCACGCCAUAAACGAUGUGCACUAGGUGUUGGGCGUAUUGACGCGCUCAGUGCCGCAGCUAACGCAUUAAGUGCACCGCCUGGGGAGUACGGUCGCAAGAUUA
rnacentral:rRNA from 1 species